AUCCUUCCCGAUUCCAUAGCCUCCCAACCAUAGUCGGUUGCGCCUCCGCAGAAAAGGAAUCGGUGGUGGAGAGGAUAGGUUGAACCCCGCAGAUCCUAGGCGUCGCUGCCGAAGAGAAAAGCAGCCCCAACAUGCCGAAGGGCACAUCGGCGCAGCGAGCGCGCACGCGACUGCAAGUCCGCCCCCCGCCACCAAUCCCCUAUCUUCUCUGCUUCGAGGCGCACGCUGCCCUCACCGGCGCUGCCGCUGGAUCAUGGAUGGCGGGGCAAAAGGGCAAGACCUACGACUGAUUUUGCGGCGCAUCAGCAGCAGGCAAUGGCGGGCCUGUACGUGCUAGUGGAUCUACAUAAGGUGUCGGCGCAGGGCUGGCACUGCGGCCAGGUGACGUCGCUACCGCCGUCGAGCACCAUGCAUAGCUGCCGCACGAGCUGGCCCACGCCGACGCGCGAGAAGUACUCGCCACUGCCCUGCCCGACGCCGGACACCACGGCCCCUGUAUCUCUGUUGCCGACGCCUCAAAGACCAUCAUGGUGUUGGUCAGCUUCAGGUCGGCGCGGGAGAUCGCGUCGGCGGCCCGGGGAGUCGCGGCGUAGGCGGGCGAGCACGUGGGACCAGUAGCUCUGGUGCCGGCCCUGCUGCUCCCGGAGGAAGGCCCUGGAGUCGGGCCGCAGGGUGAGCCCACUCUGGUGAAGGAUUGGAUCGCUGGAGAACUCUGUUCUUCAAUCGCGUUCUGGUGAAGGAGUCGAUCGCCGGUGAACGAUGUGCGUAAUCUUGUACGUAGUAAUUCUGUUUGCUUUUCUCCUGCUAUCUUCCCCAUGUCGCUAACCGGAAUUAGGAACAUCAGAUUGCUUUCAACUUGAUCAACCUCUGCCCUUUUUUUCGUGGAAGAAACAGCCGGUGAGGACAACCUGCUCUCCUUUUCAAUCUGGUGCGUAAGUCUGAAGUUUCCCUUUCUCAUGCCAUGUUCCUAUGAAUAGCUCACUAGAACUGACAGAAUUUUGAUCAUAAGACUGCCUUCAACUUGAUCAAGCUUUCCCUUUUAUAAAAAGAAGAAUCAGCCGGGGUUCUAUUUUGUCUAUUGAGAUGGAAGAAGAGGCUAACACAUCGUACCAUCGUACCAUGCCAACAUGAGCUACCAAGCUUUCCCUUUCACAUUUACUUUUCUCUCAUCCUAAAAUAUGGCACUUGCACAAGUUUUUUGUGCUCAUGAUUACUUUUCAAUUGCAGAGCUAUAUUGUCCAGCUUGGUACCUCAUGUUGGCAUGAAAUUUAAAAAUUCGGAUGAAGCUUGGGCAUUUUGGCUUAGCUGUGGUGGUCAAAAGGGCUUUGAGGUCCGAAAAAGGUAUACGAACAAAAGGUCCGCAGAUGGCAAGCUAAUCCUCCUGCAGCGGUGCGACAACGACGGCGUGGCGCAGCGACCACCACCAUGGAGAUGGGUGUGCAGGUCAUCGACGUGCGGUUGCUGCGCACGUAUGCCGAGGUGUUCAUCACGGGCGACGACUCGAGGAGGCCGACGAACAGGACGCCCUUGGACCGGCAUGGCGGGGGGAGGCCAUGUAGCACGCGUUGCUCUGGUUGCCCUGUAUCCUGGAUGCCGCCGACCACAGGGGCACCGGCUGCACGUGUUUCCCGGCCGCCUCCGACCAGUGGGGCUCUCGCGAUGUGUUACUUUGUAUCCCGGCCACCGCGGACAGCGAGGGCUCCCUCUACACGUGUUGCUUUGUUUCCCGGCCGCCGCUGACCACUCGGGCUCCGGCUUCAUUUGUUGCUCUGCGUCCAUUGCUCCUUUGGCGACGGUGAGGACGUGCCGAGAGCUCAUUCUACCAUGACGAAGAACUGGAUUUUUAAAUUUGAGAGGGAGAACGGGAAUUCUAGGGGAACGAGGAGAUUAUUGAAAUUAGGAGGUCAUCAUAGUUUGGAUAUUUUUAUUGUUUUUCUUUUCAGUUUCAUACUACUAUUGGAUUUUGUUGUUUCUCACUAAGAGCUAUUUGACUUAUAAUCCCAAUGUUUUGUUGUUA